UGGCGACCAUAGCAAGAGUGAACCACCUGAUCCCUUCCCAACUCAGAAGUGAAACCUCUUAGCGCUGAUGGUAGUGUGGGAUUACCCAUGUGAGAGUAAGUCAUCGCCAGCUC
rnacentral:rRNA from 1 species